UCAUUUAAAGAGUGCGUAAUAGCUCACUAGUCGAGUGACACUGCGCCGAAAAUGUACCGGGGCUAAACAUAUUACCGAAGCUGUGGAUUGUCCUUUGGACAAUGGUAGGAGAGCGUUCUAAGGGCGUCGAAGCAUGAUCGCAAGGACAUGUGGAGCGCUUAGAAGUGAGAAUGCCGGUGUGAGUAGCGAAAGACGGGUGAGAAUCCCGUCCACCGAUUGACUAAGGUUUCCAGAGGAAGGCUCGUCCGCUCUGGGUUAGUCGGGUCCUAAGCUGAGGCCGACAGGCGUAGGCGAUGGAUAACAGGUUGAUAUUCCUGUACCACCUAGUAUCGUUUUAAUCGAUGGGGGGACGCAGUAGGAUAGGCGAAGCGUGCUGUUGGAGUGCACGUCCAAGCAGUAAGGCUGAGUGUUAGGCAAAUCCGGCACUCAUAAGGCUGAGCUGUGAUGGGGAGAGGAAAUUGUUUCCUCGAGUCGUUGAUUUCACACUGCCGAGAAAAGCCUCUAGAUAGAUAACAGGUGCCCGUACCGCAAACCGACACAGGUAGUCAAGAUGAGAAUUCUAAGGUGAGCGAGCGAACUCUCGUUAAGGAACUCGGCAAAAUGACCCCGUAACUUCGGGAGAAGGGGUGCUCUUUAGGGUUCACGCCCAGAAGAGCCGCAGUGAAUAGGCCCAAGCGACUGUUUAUCAAAAACACAGGUCUCUGCUAAACCGUAAGGUGAUGUAUAGGGGCUGACGCCUGCCCGGUGCUGGAAGGUUAAGAGGAGUGGUUAGCUUCUGCGAAGCUACGAAUCGAAGCCCCAGUAAACGGCGGCCGUAACUAUAACGGUCCUAAGGUAGCGAAAUUCCUUGUCGGGUAAGUUCCGACCCGCACGAAAGGCGUAACGAUUUGGGCACUGUCUCAACGAGAGACUCGGUGAAAUCAUAGUACCUGUGAAGAUGCAGGUUACCCGCGACAGGACGGAAAGACCCCGUGGAGCUUUACUGUAGCCUGAUAUUGAAAUUCGGCACAGCUUGUACAGGAUAGGUAGGAGCCUUUGAAACGUGAGCGCUAGCUUACGUGGAGGCGUUGGUGGGAUACUACCCUAGCUGUGUUGGCUUUCUAACCCGCACCACUUAUCGUGGUGGGAGACAGUGUCAGGCGGGCAGUUUGACUGGGGCGGUCGCCUCCUAAAAGGUAACGGAGGCGCUCAAAGGUUCCCUCAGAAUGGUUGGAAAUCAUUCAUAGAGUGUAAAGGCAUAAGGGAGCUUGACUGCGAGACCUACAAGUCGAGCAGGGUCGAAAGACGGACUUAGUGAUCCGGUGGUUCCGCAUGGAAGGGCCAUCGCUCAACGGAUAAAAGCUACCCCGGGGAUAACAGGCUUAUCUCCCCCAAGAGUUCACAUCGACGGGGAGGUUUGGCACCUCGAUGUCGGCUCAUCGCAUCCUGGGGCUGUAGUCGGUCCCAAGGGUUGGGCUGUUCGCCCAUUAAAGCGGUACGCGAGCUGGGUUCAGAACGUCGUGAGACAGUUCGGUCCCUAUCCGUCGUGGGCGUAGGAAAUUUGAGAGGAGCUGUCCUUAGUACGAGAGGACCGGGAUGGACAUACCUCUGGUGUACCAGUUGUCGUGCCAACGGCAUAGCUGGGUAGCUAUGUAUGGACGGGAUAAGUGCUGAAAGCAUCUAAGCAUGAAGCCCCCCUCAAGAUGAGAUUUCCCAACUUCGGUUAUAAGAUCCCUCGAAGAUGACGAGGUUAAUAGGUUCGAGGUGGAAGCGUGGUGACACGUGGAGCUGACGAAUACUAAUCGAUCGAAGACUUAAUCAAUUUUUAAA
rnacentral:rRNA from 1 species